rnacentral:rRNA from 1 species
CCCUGAUGUUAGCGGCGGACGGGUGAGUAACACGUGGGUAACCUGCCUGUAAGACUGGGAUAACUCCGGGAAACCGGGGCUAAUACCGGAURCUUGUUUGAACCGCAUGGUUCAAACAUAAAAGGUGGCUUCGGCUACCACUUACAGAUGGACCCGCGGCGCAUUAGCUAGUUGGUGAGGUAAUGGCUCACCAAGGCAACGAUGCGUAGCCGACCUGAGAGGGUGAUCGGCCACACUGGGACUGAGACACGGCCCAGACUCCUACGGGAGGCAGCAGUAGGGAAUCUUCCGCAAUGGACGAAAGUCUGACGGAGCAACGCCGCGUGAGUGAUGAAGGUUUUCGGAUCGUAAAGCUCUGUUGUUAGGGAAGAACAAGUGCCGUUCAAAUAGGGCGGCACCUUGACGGUACCUAACCAGAAAGCCACGGCUAACUACGUGCCAGCAGCCGCGGUAAUACGUAGGUGGCAAGCGUUGUCCGGAAUUAUUGGGCGUAAAGGGCUCGCAGGCGGUUUCUUAAGUCUGAUGUGAAAGCCCCCGGCUCAACCGGGGAGGGUCAUUGGAAACUGGGGAACUUGAGUGCAGAAGAGGAGAGUGGAAUUCCACGUGUAGC